rnacentral:rRNA from 1 species
GACGAAGGAUGCAAGCGUUAUCCGGAUUCAUUGGGUUUAAAGGGAGCGUAGGUGGCCUUAUAAGUCAGUGGUGAAAUCUUCGAGCUUAACUCGGAAAUUGCCAUUGAUACUGUAGGGCUUGAGUAUAGUUGCCGUUGGCGGAAUAUGACAUGUAGUGGUGAAAUACAUAGAGAUGUCAUAGAACACCGAUUGCGAAGGCAGCUGACGAAACUAUAACUGACACUGAGGCUCGAAAAGUGCGGGGAUCAAACAGG